UACGGGGGGGGGGCAAGCGUUGUUCGGAAUUACUGGGCGUAAAGGGCUCGUAGGCGGCCAACUAAGUCAGACGUGAAAUCCCCUCGGCUUAACCAGGGAACUGCGUCUGAUACUGGAUGGCUUGAGUGCGGGAGAGGAUGGUGGAAUUCCCAGUGUAGAGGUGAAAUUCGUAGAUAUUGGGAAGAACACCAGUGGCGAAGGCGGCUCACUGGCCCGUAACUGACGCUGAGGUGCGAAAGCGUGGGGAGCAAACAGG
rnacentral:rRNA from 1 species